rnacentral:rRNA from 2 species
AAGAAUUAGUGAACCGCGAACGGCUCAUUACAACAGCUAUAAUUUACUUGAUCUUGAUUAUCCUACUUGGAUAACUGUGGUAAUUCUAGAGCUAAUACAUGCACCAAAGCUCCGACUUACGAACGAGCGCAUUUAUUAGACCAAAACCAAUCGGGCUUCGGCUCGUUUGUUGGUGACUCUGAAUAACUAAGCUGAUCGCACGGUCCCGCACCGGCGACGUGUCUUUCAAGUAUCUGCCUUAUCAACUUUCGAUGGUAGUUUAUGUGCCUACCAUGGUUGUAACGGGUAACGGAGAAUAAGGGUUCGACUCCGGAGAGGGAGCCUGAGAAACGGCUACCACAUCCAAGGAAGGCAGCAGGCGCGCAAAUUACCCACUCUCGGCACGAGGAGGUAGUGACGAAAAAUAACGAGACCGUUCUCUAUGAGGCCGGUUAUCGGAAUGGGUACAAUUUAAACCCUUUAACGAGGAUCUAUGAGAGGGCAAGUCUGGUGCCAGCAGCCGCGGUAAUUCCAGCUCUCAAAGUGUAUAUCGUCAUUGCUGCGGUUAAAAAGCUCGUAGUUGGAUCUGCGCCUCAGGACUCGGUCCGCCCACUGGGUGUGAACUGGGAUCCUAGGCUAAUACUGCUGGUUUUCCCUUCGUGGCCUUCACUGGUUGCGUUGGGUGGCUAGCGAGUUUACUUUGAAAAAAUUAGAGUGCUUAAAACAGGCUAUUGUCUGAAUACUCGUGCAUGGAAUAAUAGAAUAGGACCUCGGUUCUAUUUUGUUGGUUUUCUGAACUGAGAUAAUGGUUAAGAGGGACAGACGGGGGCAUUCGUAUCGCUGCGUGAGAGGUGAAAUUCUUGGACCGCAGCGAGACGCCCUACUGCGAAAGCAUUUGCCAAGAAUGUCUUCAUUAAUCAAGAACGAAAGUCAGAGGUUCGAAGGCGAUCAGAUACCGCCCUAG